rnacentral:rRNA from 1 species
CCUACGGGAGGCAGCAGUGAGGAAUAUUGGUCAAUGGCCAGAAGGCUGAACCAGCCAAGCCGCGUGAGGGAGGAAGGCGCAGAGCGUCGCAGACCUCUUUUGCCGGGGGACAAAAGUCCGGACGGGUCCGGUUCUGAGGGUACCCGGAGAAAAAGCAUCGGCUAACUCCGUGCCAGCAGCCGCGGUAAUACGGAGGAUGCGAGCGUUAUCCGGAUUCAUUGGGUUUAAAGGGUGCGCAGGGGGGCCUUUAGGCCGGUGGUGAAAUCGCGGGGCUCAGCCCGGCCGAGCCGUCGGAACUGGGGGCCUUGAGUGCGGUGGAGGCAUGUGGAAUGCGCGGUGUAGCGGUGAAAUGCAUAGA